CAAUUGUUACGACCCACCCCGUUGGUGUCCAGGGGGAAGCAACAAUUAAUAUAAAACCGGGUGUUUAAAGAACAGAAGAGAGUAACAGGAUUUCAACCAAUAUACCAUUUAUUGCAUAACUGAGUCCUAUAUUAACACAGAAAGAACCAAUGACAAUAUCCCUCCACUGAGGGAGCAACAAACAACACUAUCCCUCCACUGAGGGAGCAAUGCCACGACGAAGAGCCCACGUAGCUCUGACUCGCGACCGACAGCGACCCCAACUCUGUUCGCCUAUCUGGCCCACUGGCCACGUCUGCUUUCAUCCCUGCAGCUUUAUAGCAAUCCACGUGAUUGCUGAGGGGCUGCAGGUGUGUCUGAUCAGUCAGAUGGGGAGGGUGGUACCUGGAACAGCACACAAAACAGCAGAGGCAAAACACACACGUAACACAUUGAAACAAUAAUUGUAAAAACAUUAUACCAACAUAACAGGCAAGUUUAUUCAAACAUCACACUAACAAGAACAGUAACUGAUAGUAAAUAAACAAAAAAAUGAGAAAUGAUUUAACAACACUGAAUAUGCUGAACCGAGGCAGGGGAAAAGGACAGAGGAAGAAGACUUGUCCGUUGUCACAGCAUCAAGGUCCAACUGUAGAGAUCAAGAAAGGAAGAAGCAUGAGGAGGAGUACAACAGAACACUGUGCUCUCUAGGAGAUUGUUUACUGAUGUAAACUAAGUUUAUGCAGUCUUAAGUUACAAUUAUGAUUCAAAUCCAGGUUUGUAUUUCAGGAGAAAGAUAGAUAAUCAGCCGACAGCCAGCAGCCAGCCAGCUGAUAGCAGCAAGCACUAGAUAGAAAUCAAUAGCGAUGUCGUUACUAAAAAAUAAGCUUUAUCAUCGGCACUAGUGAUUAAAAAAAAAGGGUUAGAUUAGCUCACUAAAACUCUCUGUAACGCGUGUAUUACGCAAAAAAAGCCUUACCUCCAACAGCUUGUUAUCAAUGCAGAUGCCACGAGAAAAGGGAAUGAUGCGGAAGUGCCGAAGUGAUUCAGAAACUGCCGUAAAGCAGUAUCUCUGACAGUAUGAAAAUGUGUGACGUCAUCGCACCUUUUUAGAACAGAUACAUGACCUUAAAAAAUGCAAUAUUCAGCUGAGUUUAUUAUCUUAGCCUCACCUUUUGAACGCAACUUUCAAAUUACUUGACAAAAAAUUACAUUGUGAGAAAAGUGGAUUCUGAGGGUAAAACCCCAUAGGCUCCCAUUCAUUCUGGACUCGCCUGCGAGCGCCCCGCGUGGACAGAUAUUAUUACUGCACCCAGUCCAGAAAACCGGAACUAACCAGCGAGUGCCUAUUCUCCUCAUAUUAGACACUCCCUGGUGGUACUUACACCGGUUCCGUCAUUGUUGGUCUGUAGUGCCAUAAAGCAAUUCGGUGCUUCGCGAGACCCGAGACUCCCGCGAGAGUGGGCGGCGGGUCGCUGGGAGAAACGAUAGUUAUGUUACUAUAACUCUAGUUCUAUGAUUGUAGGCUACGCCGUCUAGGCUUCGCCUUAUGGGCUAAGGUGAAGCUGCGAGCGGAGCCCGAUCAAUGUACUCCUGCUGGACCCCAGUCAAAACGACCUAAGUCACCAGAACACAUAAAGACUCAAAAAAGCCAAGGAAGUGUAAAACACAACAGCUUAAUAAAAAACUAAUUCCUCCUAGAUCAAGCAAGGCAAUGAUCAAGGUAGAAAAAAGUGAGUCUGUAAAGACUCCGGCUCUAAUCCGUGCUUCAUGGAACCCAUGAAAAGGAAAAGAAAAACCAGAGCAACACGGUUUCCAUUAGGUCCGCUACUAC
ensembl:lncRNA